AAUUGCUUUAGAAUUUGCGGUCCUAAAUCAGCGGCUUAACGCGGCUGAGGUUCUUUAACAAUUGGGUCAGAUUAUUUGUGUGGGCGCUGGCUGAGGUGGUCGACAGAUCAUCAAAGGUCAGUGCUCGUUGAUUCGAGUGCGGUCUUUGAGCUUGUAUAAGAUGCUUCGGCAUCGAAUGAUUUAAACUGAAGAGUUUGAUCAUGGCUCAGAUUGAACGCUGGCGGCAGGCCUAACACAUGCAAGUCGAGCGGUAACAGGUCCUUCGGGAUGCUGACGAGCGGCGGACGGGUGAGUAAUGCAUGGGAACUUGCCCAGUAGUGGGGGAUAGCCCGGGGAAACCCGGAUUAAUACCGCAUACGCCCUGAGGGGGAAAGCGGGCCUUUGUGCUCGCGCUAUUGGAUGGGCCCAUGUCGGAUUAGUUUGUUGGUGGGGUAACGGCUUACCAAGGCGACGAUCCGUAGCUGGUCUGAGAGGAUGAUCAGCCACACCGGGACUGAGACACGGCCCGGACUCCUACGGGAGGCAGCAGUGGGGAAUAUUGGACAAUGGGGGCAACCCUGAUCCAGCCAUGCCGCGUGUGUGAAGAAGGCUUUCGGGUUGUAAAGCACUUUCAGUCGGGAGGAAAAGCUAGUCGUUAAUACCGGCUAGUGUUGACGUUACCGGCAGAAGAAGCACCGGCUAACUCCGUGCCAGCAGCCGCGGUAAUACGGAGGGUGCAAGCGUUAAUCGGAAUUACUGGGCGUAAAGGGCGCGUAGGCGGUUUGGUAAGCGAGUUGUGAAAGCCCCGGGCUCAACCUGGGAAUGGCAAUUCGAACUGCCAGGCUAGAAUGCAGCAGAGGGUAGUGGAAUUCCAGGUGUAGCGGUGAAAUGCGUAGAUAUCUGGAGGAACACCAGUGGCGAAGGCGACUGCCUGGGCUGACAUUGACGCUGAGGUGCGAAAGCGUGGGUAGCAAACAGGAUUAGAUACCCUGGUAGUCCACGCUGUAAACGCUGAGAACUAGUCGUUGGGGCUAUUGAAGCCUUAGUGACGCAGCUAACGCGAUAAGUUCUCCGCCUGGGGAGUACGGCCGCAAGGUUAAAACUCAAAUGAAUUGACGGGGGCCCGCACAAGCGGUGGAGCAUGUGGUUUAAUUCGACGCAACGCGAAGAACCUUACCUGGUCUUGACAUCCUGCGAACUUGCUAGAGAUAGCUUGGUGCCUUCGGGAGCGCAGUGACAGGUGCUGCAUGGCCGUCGUCAGCUCGUGUCGUGAGAUGUUGGGUUAAGUCCCGUAACGAGCGCAACCCUUGUCCUUAGUUGCCAGCGGUCCGGCCGGGAACUCUAGGGAGACUGCCGGUGACAAACCGGAGGAAGGUGGGGAUGACGUCAGGUCAUCAUGGCCCUUACGGCCAGGGCUACACACGUGCUACAAUGGGGCGCACAGAGGGCAGCUAAGCCGCGAGGUGCAGCGAAUCCCUUAAAACGCCUCGUAGUCCGGAUCGGAGUCUGCAACUCGACUCCGUGAAGUCGGAAUCGCUAGUAAUCGCAGAUCAGAAUGCUGCGGUGAAUACGUUCCCGGGCCUUGUACACACCGCCCGUCACACCAUGGGAGUGGACUGCACCAGAAGCGGUUAGUCUAACCUUCGGGAGGACGAUCGCCACGGUGUGGUUCACGACUGGGGUGAAGUCGUAACAAGGUAGCCGUAGGGGAACCUGCGGCUGGAUCACCUCCUUAU
rnacentral:rRNA from 1 species